rnacentral:lncRNA from 1 species
AUAAAAGUAGGGUCAUAUUUUUCAUACUGAAAUUCACAACUAUUCUUUUAUACAAGCACCUCAUAAUAUAUAAUGCAAUACUAUUCACAGGGGCCUAAUCUAACACUUAUCCACAUAUAAUCAAGGUCUGACAAAACGGGAUGGGAUCUCAGUCCUUAUCCGGAUCGUACCCAGGAUCCUCCUCAUGGUCAUCUUCUUCUCUAAAAUCUUCCUUCUCAUCUAGUUCCACAUUAGGGUUCUCCUCUUCAGAUUCCUCCUCCUCAGGCUCCUCAUCAGGGUCCUGAAAUGGUUAUUCAAUAACCAUUGAGACCAUGUCUCAGCAAGUUCUACUCCUUAAGACCCGAUUAGUAAACUAAUACACCUUAAGGCUGUCUAUGCACAAUAUGAGUCAGAUGACUUACCUUGGCUUCAGAUUCCACCUACAUAUUAGCACAGAUCAAAUAGACAUCUAAGCAAUCACAUCACUGAUCGAAGCAUCAAUCAAAUCGACCCGGUCAAUUACAUGCCAACAAGACCACUCACGGUCAUUUCCAUUCAAUCAAUUAAUUCACAACGUCAGAUCAAAGCGAUGAUCAAUCGACCUAAUCGAUUACAUGUCAACGAUAACCAUUCCCUGGCCAAUUCAGUUCAAUCAAUCAAUUCAUGACAAAUGGAUCAAAUCAUAUUGGUGAUUCGAUCUAUACUCGAUAAUUAUUCUCAACGUUCCAAUUCAACAUUCUCACUCAAAAAUAGGCUCAAGGCGCUAAAGGUGACCCCAACACGAAAUCUUGUCAUCGUGCGGUACUUAGUCCUUGCCCCCAAAUAACAAUAGUAUAAGGCGCUAGAGGUAAUUCACAUGAAAUCUCGCUAUCAUGUAGUACUUAAUCAUUCACUACAAAAUGCAAUAGGGUAAGACGCUAGAGGUGACUCACACGAGAUCUUAUCAUCGUGUAGCACUUAGCCUUUCACUAUGCAUAACAAUGAUGUAAGGCACUAAAGAUAAUUCCCAUGCGACUCAGGUCGCCAUGUAACACUUAGCCCUUAACUGCAAUAAGUAAUGGUAUAAGGCACUAGAUGUGACUCACACGAAGUCUUCUACUCGUGUAGUACUUAGUCCUUUAUUUGCUCAUGACCCAAUGACAUUGUGCCUCGUAUUUAAAUUCCUCAAUUCAAAUAACUUCUUGGCCUAAUUUCUUCAUAUUAAAAAUAUCCGAUAAAAUCUCAUGCGUGGGCACACGGUUGGCCUUAGCCAAAAUAUAAUAUUUUUUUUCCAUAACUCCCACCUUUUCUGCAAUCCAUUCAAAUAUUUUUGACAUUGUCAACCAAUGCCCGGUUAUUUUUCAAUUAAUAACUAAAGAUUAUUCAAUUAAAGAAUAAUUCCUAGUUUCACAAAUAAUUCAAUUCAGCACAAAAUAAAGCUCAAUUAAAUAAACAAACUACGCCACAACAAUCAGCACCAAAUUUCGGUCACCAGCCAUCCCGGUUGAAUUUCCGGAAAAUAAAUAAUUAAAUAAUUAAUUUUGAAAAUUAAAUAAAUUAAAUACAAUAAUUCCAAUUUAGCACCACAUAAAACUCAAUUAAAUAAAUGGACUGCACCACGAUCAUCAUCAUAAAAUCCUGGUCACUAGCCAUCCCAAUUGAAUUUCCGGAAAAUAAAUAAUUAAAUAAUUAAUUUCAAAAAUAAUAUUUAAUUCCUAAAAAUUCCAAUUAGGCCUGAAUUGCCUAAUUAACACCCGAUAAGGGUCGGGAAAAAUCCCAAGAAGCAUCCAAUAAAUAGUAUUACGUGCCUACUUGCUAAUUGCACAAUCCAAUUGACUAACAUGCAUCACAAUUAUCUAAUAAUCACUAAUCUACUCUAAUCUAACCACCUAAUUGCACUUAAUUAAAUCUACUCAACCUUUAAGUAUAAUUAGCAAACUAAGAAGGCAUUAGUGAGUAAAACUCACUUGAGCAAAGCGAAGACCGGAACACCGCUACGACGACGCGACGGUGGCCGAACUUGGGCCGACUUGCUUCAUGGGCCCAAGAUGGGCUAAACUUGUUGGGCCUUGCUGAAAUACAAAUGAUGCUAGGCUUGAAACUAAACUGAACUGGGCUUCAAAAAGCUGGGCCGAGUUAUUAAAUCUUUGGGCCGAAUUUGGACUGAAAUGAGCUGCUGGACCAACAAAUUUUGCUGGGCUUGAAAUUCAAUGGGCUGAAGACACUUGCUGGACUUGAAGACUUCAACUGGGCCGAAAUUUGCUGGGUUUCAAAUCCAAUUGAUGAUGGGCUGGAUGCUGGGCUGGCUUGUUGCGGCAGAUCCACGAGCUGAAGAAGACGCGGCGAAGAAGCUGCUACUCGUGGACGCAAGGCAAGAAACAGAGGUGGCUUCGUGGACUGGAAAAGAAGGCUGACUUCGGCUUCAAAUUGGGCUGAACGAAGAAGAUGGGCUGGCUUCGCUCGAAUUGAUGCUGGACGAGUGAGCAGCGAACACGGGGCUGCUGCAGGCGUGCGGUCGAAGACGGAGCAGACGAGGAAGCAGCUGGUCUUCGAGCAGACCGAAAUCCACGAGCGUUGAAGGCAGCGACAGAGAGGAAGCAGCUUCGUUUGACGUCACGCGGCCAGCUGGAGACAGAAGCCGCGAAGGUGGUUGAGCUGGCUUCGGUCGGCUGAAAUUCUCGAGCGUUGAAGAUGGAUGAUUGACUUGGCGAAGGCGGACGUGGCAGCUCGGUCGGUCGAAGAUGAAAUGGAGCGGUUGAUUCGGUAGGCUUGCUUCUCGGUGGAUUGUGGGCUUGCAGGCAAGAGGAAAUGGACGCGCGGCAAGGAGUCAACCAAAUUGAAGAAGAACGUGGACGUGGCCGUUUCCAAGAGCCUCGGCGGAGAUGACGGUCAACAAGAGGGCUUCAUGGCAAGGGGUUUGAUCGAAUCAAAGAAAUUGUGGCCAAAAUGAAAAGUUGAUGGUGGAGAUGGACGUUCAUGAAUGGGGGAAAGGAUGAGCGGUAGAGAGAAACUGAAAAUUGAGAUGCAGAGAAAACGAAAGAUGAAAUGAAGGAGAAUCCGGAUGCGGUAGAAGCAGAGGCGUCG